rnacentral:lncRNA from 10 species
CCUGUCCAGGCGACAAUUGAUAGAAACCAUCUGACGGUCUUGGGUGGCUAUGUGCAUUACACAAGCAUAUAUGUUUGUCUUCUGACUGUGUGCAGGACAAAAACCCAAUGACACAAUUUGCCACUGUCACUGUUCUUUAUGAUUUUUCAAGAGAAUGCUGCACAUGCUAGCCACUCAGUAGCACAUGCUUGGACCGGGCCAUUUUCUUUGAUUUAACAACAACUGUUUUAUUGAAUUUCUAAUAUGUUCUGACAUUGCACUAGGUGCUAAGGAUACAGAAGUGAAUAAUAUGGUUUCUGCCAUCAAAAAAGCCACAAUCUGGAAGAGGAAGGAGACAAGCAGUUGCAGAACAGCAAGAGAAGUGAGAACCAGAUAGCUUGGUGUCAUAAAGUGGGGGAUGGUCUACUCUUCAUGUAUGUGUGUGUGUGUGUGCAUGUAUGUUUGUGUGUGUGCAUGUAAGUGUGUUUGCAUGUGUGCAUGUGUGUGUUUGCGCGUGUGUGCAUGUGUGUGUGCAUGUGUGUAUGUUUGCAUGUGUGUAUGUUUGCGUGUGUGUGUGUGCAUGUGUGUGUGUGUUUGCAUUUGUGUGUGCAUGUGGUGAGUGUGUCUGGAGUGGGGGUUAGGGAAGGCUUCAUAGACUUGAGAUGAGUCUUGAUGAAUGAUGGUUACUGAAGCAAAGGGAAGAGACAGUCAACAGGCAGAGGAACACUCCGGUGAUACGGAGGAGAUGAUGGGUUGAGGAACAACACGCAGUCUGGUCCUGGGCCCUGGAACUACAGGACAAGUGGGGAGGGCAGGAAGAUGUGGCCAGGAGGCAGGCAGGGCCAGGUCAGCUAUGUUACACUAUAAUUAGAUUUUCCCGUAAGUGGCAAAACCAUGUUUGAACCUCCGAAGGGUGGUGCCACCUCAUCGUGGGGGAAUUCAGAACAUGCCCUGGGACGGCAGAGGGUCUGCCUCAAGAAGGACCAGCCCCAGCUGCAAAGAACUACAAAAGAAAACCACAGAAAGCAGAGAACAAGUACAUUUGUAAAACAUUAAUUUUCUGAAAACUCCCUGCCUCUUCUCCAUUUCCUUCUCAUACUGACCGCUGUAACUUACAACAGAGCCAGACCUUGUUCCCCAGGUGCUGACAUCAAUGGGCUUCUCACCUGAGCGAGGCCCUCACAGCUGAUCCUAAGGGCUUAAUUAGGAUCAUGAGCCAGGCAGCGUCCCUCACAACCUGGAGAAGGAACAGCCUUAACUGUGACAAUCUUGUCCUUCCGAGGACAUGUGGGCAGUCAAGCCCCACAAAGAAGAAGGAACGGUUCAGCAGCAUUUCAGAAAUCUAUCUGAGUGACAAGAAGUGUACAAUUAAGAUCAACUAAUUCGCCAGGAACAGUGGCAGCGGGUGGCCCACCUGUGAAUGUACUAAACUGAGAAGCACCAAGAGAUUCAGAGGAGGGAGGAGCAGAAAAAGACAAAGACCCCACUCACUCCAUGUGCCUGGCUGCCAGCCCAUCUGUCGCCCCUCCAGGUGACCAGAGUCUUCACCUCUUCCGAAGAAGGGAUCCUGCAGUUCCCAUGGUGCACUGCAAGGACGCUCUCUCAUGAUCUAAUCUGCACUAGAACCACGUGAAUGUGAGGCUCUGACGUUCCUAACACAUGAGAUGACUCUGGAAGCCAGGACCUGCCGUGGGAAAGGCUGAACACUGCCCCAGAGCAGAUGGGCGGUGACCCACCACAGUGAGCUCCAGUGACCCAGAUGUGGUUGGAGUCCCCUGUUCUUCCACUUGCCCGUGCAAUUCCAUUUUCAUAAACACGAUUCGGCAUCUCUUAGAGAUCAUAGGUGCCCAGGGGUAACUGAAACCAUGGAAAGUGAAACCUUGGAUAAGGUGGGAGAUGGUGUCUACUGUACUUGUGAAGUCCGGUAAAGACAUGUACGUAAGUUAUAUGAAGUCUGGAGUAGUUCCUGCUACUGAGCCUGCGAAAACAUCGGAGUGAACAUUUUACCUUUUCAGGUAACACAACAUGAGAUCCUACUGAUCUUAUAAAUCCUUAAAUAAAAUUUGUUCAUAUAUAUAUAUAUACACACACACACACACACAUAUACAUAUGUGUGUAUAUAUAUUUUAAGUUUUAUAUAUAUAUAUAUCACCCAGAAUCUUAAUUUGAACUACGUUUUUGUUUGGAUUGAAUAUAAUAGAAGUCCCACUCCAUUCAGUGUAACCAAAAUGUGAACACACCAUGCCAGCAUCCUGAGCCUCACAGAACACAGGGAAUGCCUAUGCCUCGCUUGCUGAUCUCCACUGACUCACAAUCUAGUUGUGGCCUGAGACAAACACACCGCUGAUCAUCUUACUGAGAACCGUGGUCACAGCCACACAGCCACAUGCACUUGGAGGCACCAGGUGGGGAGUCUCCCAGACAGGCAAAGCCAUGGAAAUCUCACCUGGAGCAAAUCAAAUUUCUGAGCUUUGCUCUCGACAAUUUCUGGUGAUUUGCUGUCUCUCCCUUGGCCAGUUCCCUCUAUGCUUCCUCAGCCCUUUAUUUUCUCUGUUGACUGGGAAGAGUGUUUGCCAUAAAUAUAGAAAGAUCUCCGAGUCCUUUAUAUUUACAACGUGACUGUGCUGCAAAAAAUAGUGCGGUUUCCUUGUCCUUGUUCACAUGAAACCCGGUGUGUGACACCCGGUAGUGGGAUUUGCUCCUGACGGCACAGGCAGGCCGAGCUGGAAUUCCAACUUGUGUCUGCCAUGCUCCCCAGCUUCUGCUGGGCCGUGUGAAUUCUGCAUUUCACCAUGCUCAAAAUAGAGCAUGUUUUGCCAUAGCUGCUACCAAUCCUAUACUUUAGUUCUGUACUUUAGAAAUAGCAGGGAAAUGAAUAACACCCAGCCUUUUCCAGAGAAGUAAGGUAGGACGUGAAUUUUAACUAUCUCAUUUUUAGCUCUGUUUACGACAUGAAUUCUGUUUCGGACUAGUUGCCUCCAAUUGGAUACCUAAACAUUUUAAAGCCAUUUGGGAGGUAUGGGAACAAACGAGAAAUAAGAUAAAGGUGUUUUUUUUUUUAAUUUUCCCUUGGGGGUCAGUCUAAAAUUUUAUUCGGAUAAUAAAAAUUCCUGAGAGAUGCUGAAAAAGUAAAAAGCUGAUUUCACUGAGAAGUGCGCGUCACAGGUUAUGUAAGCGAUUCCACAAUCAGGGCUACUCCAGAUUUCCAGUGUGCACUACAGGCUUCCAGUUAGUAGCAUGCAAUCCAUCAAAAUUAAGACAAGAGGACGGAAUAUUAGUCAGUGAACCACCACAUAUAAAUUACCCCAUUUGUGUGCACAGACAGGGCACACACUGGGCAUGGUUUAUGCUUGACGUCUUUGCCCUUUACUUACUAGGAAAAAUUGGAAAGUUUAUUUAAACUCAUAGAAUCACAGAUGAUAGAUUUGGAAAAGACAGUAGAAGUCAACUAGUCUAACCCCUAGGGGCUCAGAUUUUUUACCUAUAACAUGAGGUCAUCAAAUGCUUCCUGCUCUCUUUAGGGCCCUUUUGAGACUAAGAAGAGGAUCACAGAUGUGAACGCGUGUUGAGAAAAUUAGGAGAGCUAUGCAAGUGCAAAAUUAAAUUAUCGCUUCUAUUUUCAUCAUUAUGAUAGGCCUUCAUACAGGUGGAUAGCUGGAUUCUCUGGAAAAGGCUAGCUGAAUCAGGCUCGCCCCCAUGGCUUCAGAACCUCCAAAUUAUUAGAGCUCCCUUUUGAUAUCCUCG